GGGAAGCCCGGUGCACGCCGGGAGAUGGAGUUCUCCUGGCAGGACCUAUCGCCUGCCCCUGCGCCCCUUCUCAGGCGAGUGUCCUGGGAGCGAACGCCGAGGACGAGGGUCGUGCGGCCGGGCCGGGGUGCCUGCGCAGCCGGCCGGAGUCGGCAAGAAGCUGGGGAGCGCCGGGGAGAAUGGAGAAGCUUCAAGAAGUGAUUACCAGGAAAAGUACCUCAAGAUCAAACAUCAAAUCUUCCAGGCGUCUGACAACAUUUACUUGGCACAGAUCCAUCAACCAUGUAAUAAUGCAGAUAGGUGCGGCCGUCCCAGUUUCCAGGGGAUGGUGGCGUCUUCCUGACCGAGGAGGGGUGUGAGGCUGCGGUCCGGGGCCUGCAGGGAAGCUGCACCAGGAGGAGCCCCACGGCCCGGGGACAGUGCCGGCGGCCACCGUGGGAAACCGAAGCCGAGCCGCGGGCCAGCUGCCCGGCCUGCUGCUGCUUUUGCGUCCCAGGGUGUGCCCUUGAGCCGUCUCCGAGGGCCAAGGUCCUCAGCUUGUGGCGUUUCGUCAGGCCGGCCGGCGCCGGGCCACGCGCUGCAGAGCACGGGCAGGGAGAGGCCUGCGGUGGCCACACCGACCCCCUGCGAGCCC
rnacentral:lncRNA from 1 species